GAUGAACGCUGGCGGCGUGCCUAAUACAUGCAAGUCGAGCGAACAGACGAGGAGCUUGCUCCUCUGAUGUUAGCGGCGGACGGGUGAGUAACACGUGGAUAACCUACCUAUAAGACUGGGAUAACUUCGGGAAACCGGAGCUAAUACCGGAUAACAUGUUGAACCGCAUGGUUCAACAGUGAAAGACGGUCUGGCUGUCACUUAUAGAUGGAUCCGCGCCGCAUUAGCUAGUUGGUAAGGUAACGGCUUACCAAGGCAACGAUGCGUAGCCGACCUGAGAGGGUGAUCGGCCACACUGGAACUGAGACACGGUCCAGACUCCUACGGGAGGCAGCAGUAGGGAAUCUUCCGCAAUGGGCGAAAGCCUGACGGAGCAACGCCGCGUGAGUGAAGAAGGUCUUCGGAUCGUAAAACUCUGUUAUUAGGGAAGAACAAAUGUGUAAGUAACUAUGCACGUCUUGACGGUACCUAAUCAGAAAGCCACGGCUAACUACGUG
rnacentral:rRNA from 1 species